AGGGACUUUCGCAACGGCUAUAUUUCUCAAAGGUUUGAGUCUGGUCUCGAUCGCCACAAAACGCGUGCAUUUCUCCUAACGGUAAUAAUGUUUGAAUCGAACCGGUCUUGCAACCCCUAAACCGGUCGUGCAAGUUCUUCUCGAAGAUGGUGCCUUAGCUAUACUAACUGAUGAAGAAGAAAGACGAUAUCACUGAUUAGUCUUAAAGACAGAUCUUUGCUUUUUGCGUGAGGCUCCAGUUCUAGACUGAAGUUGAUAUUGGAGUAUGGGCUACAACUGUAGAGCUAGACGCCAUGUGCGUGCGUGAGCUGGUUAUGUGAAAUUGAUAGAUCUUACUUGUACUGCCCCGGAAUGCUUGUGACGUUGAUACUUAACAACAUGGUUCUUGUUGAUGUUUCUUCACUAGUGUUUCUCAAGAGAAUUGAGUCUUGUUGAUGGUUCUUGUUGAUGUUUCUUGCAUGAUGAUGAAGAUGGGGUUGUACUGGUGGUUUUGAGAAUGAAAUGCCUUACCAUUGUGAAGGCACAUAUUGACUAUUGGUAUAGUCAUUCUGGGUUCUAUUAAAUCAGUCAAGGAUCUCUGUUUAUGUUUA